AAACAAAUAAAAUUAUAUUCAUGAUUCGCUAGAUUCAGACAAAACAGUCCUUACAUUGUGUAUUUUUUCAACCCACUUAUCUCUCAUUUCGGAAGAAUCUGAAUGAAGUAUUAGUGACGAUGGUAUACUGUUCUUUGUGAAAUCUAGCGCAAAACAAGGGAUGAAUUCAUUUUCCUUACUUGUUGCAAGAUUGAAGACUCGAAUUUGCCUUACAAAUCGAAUUGGAAUAGUUUCACAGUAGACGGUGUCAUUUGGGUGAUGACACCAAAUAAGCGCCCCAUCUGACCUUAAGAUAAAGAAUCUUUCUUGCCAAAGUCUGCUUUCAGAUGAUUCAUUCUCACUGGAUGCGAUUAAAUCGGACAUUUGCUUCUUUUUUUGAGAAAGAGGGUUUUCAAGUGCUAAAGGCGGAUUUAUACAAAUGCCUAAAAACCCAAAGUGAUAUGUAGGAAUCGAAACAAGUAGGCUUGUUUCUCUGUGUGGCAAGAGCAUAAAUGAACUCUUGUUUAUAAUGGCUAGAACAAGAGAAUAUUGAUUUUCCGAAUUAAAUAAUCCAAUAAGAUUGUCAGGUUCUGCGACAAUCGGAGGGUUCUCGCCGUAAACUGAAAUUAAAUUUUGGAAUGCACUAGCUCUUUCUGGAGAUAAAACAUCUUGUUUUUGAUCAGAUGCACUAUUAGAGGUGUUUUUAUUACUCAUAAAUCCAAGCCAAAAUGAAUUCAAUUUUUCAGGUUUGGUUUCAGUAGAUCUGUUGAUAGAAGUUUCUGCAGUUGCUUGAGAAAGAAGAAUUUCUGAUGGGGUAGUGAGCGUGCGAUAAGAGGUAGUGAAUUCAUCAAGGAACUCACUUCUACGGCUAACUUCAAGAAGAAUAUCAUCCCAGCCAUCAACCUUAAGCAAAAGAAGCACAUUUGAGUUUUUUGGAACGAUUAUUUCUUCAAAGUCAACUAUUGGUGCAGCCUGAAGAAGUUUUAAUGGAGAAUACUGAAACAGUGCAAAUCUUUCAGAUGUUAAAACAAGAAUUUGCCUAAAUAAAUUUAUUGGGCAGUCAAGAGGGGGUGGAAAGCAUGACUUUUCAAGCCCUCUUGCUGUGUAAUUAAUAACAAUAUCACUCCAAAUUCCCUUUUUCCUUUCUGCAGAAGUUAAACCCAUUUCAUCUAACCGAUCCAAAUUUUGUUCCAUUGCAGCAUGAUCUCCAUUUUUGCCUUUGUAUAUACUCGAAAUGUUUCUGCUACUUGCAAACCCAAGCAUAUUCCAAACGGAAUGUUCAACAACAUCUGAAUCUCGGCUUUCAAACUCCGGAGUUGAAAAAACACAAAAAUCAUCUCUACAUGAAGAAACUGGUUCAUUUCCACUAAUCCAUGCUGACAACAUGACCUUGUUUUCAUCUUCUUGAGAAUCAAAAGUUUGGCAGCAAAAUGAUAUUUCUUUCAAAGUUUCGGAAUGAUCCGGCUCAUAAUUACUUAAAGAGUUUGCAUUUAAUUGCUGAGCUUGAGGUUCCUUGUAUUCUGCAUCUGAAGGUUCAUUAUUAUCAAAUUUAUCCAAAUCAAACUUCAAAAUUUGUGACUUGGCUUGGAUCACGUUUGCAAGUUGGCCUGAUGAAUUUUUGAUAUUUAGUAAUAUGCGUCUUUUUAUUAAUACUUCUUGUAUAUCUGCAUUUACUGCAAAGUGAAUUAAUGUAUUUCUGCG
rnacentral:antisense_RNA from 1 species